rnacentral:rRNA from 1 species
AAUCAACGCUGGCGGCGUGCCUCAGACAUGCAAGUCGAACGAUUAAGACUUCCUUCGGGAAGUGUAUAAAGUGGCGCACGGGUGAGUAACACGUAAGUAAUCUACCUUCGAGUGGGGAAUAACAUCGGGAAACCGAUGCUAAUACCGCAUAAUGCAGCGGCAUCGCAAGAUGACAGUUGUUAAAGGAGCAACUCGCUUGAAGAGGAGCUUGCGGCAGAUUAGCUAGUUGGUAAGGUAAUGGCUUACCAAGGCUACGAUCUGUAUCCGGUCUAAGAGGACGGUCGGACACACUGACACUGAAUAACGGGUCAGACUCCUACGGGAGGCAGCAGUCGGGAAUUUUGGGCAAUGGGCGAAAGCCUGACCCAGCAACGCCGCGUGAGGGAUGAAGUAUUUCGGUAUGUAAACCUCGAAAGAAUGGGAAGAAUAAAUGACGGUACCAUUUAUAAGCUCCGGCUAACUACGUGCCAGCCGCCGCGGUAAUAC